UUUAUCAAAGGUAAUUGAUGAUUUCACCUAAUUUCUACCCUACUAUUCUGAUUCAUCCUUUCUCGUCCCUCAAUCUUGGAUUGUGAACCACAGUAGAUCCUCUUAUAUGCGUCCAAAUCGCUUUCUCAUGGGUUUUUAGAUGUUGUCUCUUGCCCAAAACCUCAUCAAUUACCAUGUUUGUUGAUGCUGUCAAGGUUAGACAUUGGUUUUAUUAGUUUACACAUAAAAAUUAUUUGGGAGAAAUCGUUGGAUAUGGGGCUGAAGCUGAAAAAUCGGGUGGUUGAGUAAAAAUUACCAAAAUUUGUCGAAGACAUCAUUGUUCCACCAAGGAUGAUAGAGAUGAUUGUUGAUUCCACCAAGGAUGAUAGAGAUGAUUGUUGAUGGAGAGUUGCCUGGGAAACCACGAGUGAGAAGUAUAUAUAUGCUAUUGGUACUCCACAAUGUCAAAAAUUCAUUGUUGUUUCAAAAUUAAGGUGGUCGAGGGUGAAUUUUCACAGGGAAACCAACAUUUAUCCAUAAUUCCAUAUGUUGGCUGAUUGUUGAAGCAUGACACUCUAGAAGAAUCUAAUGUGGAGAUACCGAUACCUGAAUUUAAUGCCUUUUACAAACAUCAAAAGAUCCAUUCAAGCAUUUAUUGCAUCAAAAGAUUCAUAAAUCAAAUAUGUAUCCUCAAUUUAUCUCUAAUGUCAUGAAAUCUCUUCAGAUUGACCAAUUAAUGGAUCAAGAGGUUGUUAAUCUUUCUAGUGGUGAAUUGUAAUGUUGUCCUUAUUUAACUGAUAGAUGAGCCAAGUGCUAUUUGUUACAUUGCCACCUGCAUACAAUGUUCAUUUGGCUGCAUUCCGGGCGAGAUUUUACAUGGAGCCAGAUAUAUGAGACAGCGGGUCAGUGAUAAGUAGUGCAGUUGGUGGACGUGGAAUGGGUGGUGGUGGGAGAAGCACACGUGCAAAUGCAUGAUCACACUCUUACCUUCUCUGUUCCAAGGUAUUUGAUUGUUUCGAUCUCCGUGUCUUUAGCUUAACUUAAAACAAGGGACUGCAAGUCCAUGAAAUUCAUUUGUGCGGUCAGUUCUGAUUUUUAAUAGAUUUACUAAUUAUUACAUUUGAAGCAAUUUAUGUAAGAUUUUGUUUUUGAAAUGUUUUUUUCUUAUUUAUAUUUUAAUUUUUAAAUAAUUUUGAUUAAUUAAACUUGUCAUAUGUGGUGGUGAUGCA